rnacentral:rRNA from 1 species
GUGCCAGCAGCCGCGGUAAUACGGAGGGCGCAAGCGUUGUUCGGAAUCAUUGGGCGUAAAGCGCGUGCAGGCGGCUUGGUAAGUCGGGUGUGAAAUCCCGGGGCUCAACCCCGGAACUGCACCCGAUACUGCCUCGCUCGAGUCCCGGAGAGGAUGGCGGAAUUUCCGGUGUAGAGGUGAAAUUCGUAGAUAUCGGAAGGAACACCAGCGGCGAAGGCGGCCAUCUGGACGGUGACUGACGCUCAGACGCGAAAGCGUGGGGAGCAAACAGGAUUAGAAACCCGCGUAGUCC